GCCCGAUUAGCUCAGCUGGUUAGAGCGUCGUACUAAUAUCAGUUUUCUGAUAUCAAGUCCAUGCGAAGGUCAACAGUUCAAUCCUGUUAUUGGGCA
rnacentral:tRNA from 2 species